AGUGAACGCUGGCGGUAGGCCUAACACAUGCAAGUCGAACGGCAGCACAGUAAGAGCUUGCUCUUACGGGUGGCGAGUGGCGGACGGGUGAGGUAUACAUCGGAAUCUACUUUUUCGUGGGGGAUAACGUAGGGAAACUUACGCUAAUACAGCAUACGACCUACGGGUGAAAGCAGGGGAUCUUCGGACCUUGCGCGAUUGAAAGAGCCGAUGUCGGAUUAGCUAGUUGGCGGGGUAGAGGCCCACCAAGGCGACGAUCGGUAGCUGGUCUGAGAGGAUGAUUAGCUACCCGGGAACUGAGGCACGUUCCCGACUCCUACGGGAAGCAGCAGUCGGGAAUAUUAGACAAUGGGGGCAAGCCUGAUCCAGCCAUACCGCGUGGGUGAAGAAGGCCUUCGGGUUGUAAAGCCCUUUUGUUGGUAGAGAAGAGCAGCAGUUUAAUACCCCGCUGUUCUGACGGUACCCAAAGAAUAAGCACCGGCUAACUUCGUG
rnacentral:rRNA from 1 species